ACGAACGCUGGCGGCAGGCCUAACACAUGCAAGUCGAGCGGUUGAGGGUAGCUUGCUACCCGAUGCAGCGGCGAACGGGUGAGUAACGCGUGGGAAUCUGCCCAGUAGUGGGGGACAACAGUCGGAAACGACUGCUAAUACCGCAUACGCCCUACGGGGGAAAGGGGGGGAUCUUCGGACCUCUCGCUAUUGGAUGAGCCCGCGUCGGAUUAGCUAGUUGGUGAGGUAAAGGCUCACCAAGGCGACGAUCCGUAACUGGUCUGAGAGGAUGAUCAGUCACACUGGAACUGAGACACGGUCCAGACUCCUACGGGAGGCAGCAGUGGGGAAUAUUGGACAAUGGGGGCAACCCUGAUUCAGCCAUGCCGCGUGUGUGAAGAAGGCCUUAGGGUUGUAAAGCACUUUCAGUGGGGAGAAAAGUGAUUCACCUAAUACGUGAGUCAAUUGAUGUUACCCACAGAAGAAGCACCGGCUAACUCCGUGCCAGCAGCCGCGGUAA
rnacentral:rRNA from 1 species